ensembl:lncRNA
GUGAGAAAUGCCAAAAAUCCCAUCAGUCAAGUCGCAAAGAGACUUUGUGAACAAGAGAGGGCAGAAAGCCACAGAAACAAGGUGUUAAACAAAAGUUGGCAUUUUGUUUCGGAAAAGAAGAGAAAUGGAUGCUUCCUCUUGCACAAUGAAGACUUUGCCUUUGUUGAAGAAAAACGUGAUGAUGGCAAUUUGUUAUGUGAUGUAAUUUCCCAAAAAAACAUGGAAAGCUUUUUUUACUGUGCCUUGUGACUCCAAGCUUAUUAACGUUGUAUAUAUUAGAAACUUGGAGAGAGUCCAGAAACAUCGCAGGCUUUUUGAUGUUGAUUAAAUUCACCGUAAAUUGGCUUGUCUACCCUUCAAAACAGGAUAUGUACUAAUGCCUUUAUUGCACAGCAUGGAGCGAAAAGACUAAAAAAGGGAUGGCUUGGGUAAGGGCAGUGUGGCAAGAGAAGACAAGGCAAGAGGAAGGGACGGUGCCGGACAGCUGGGUGGACCCAAAGAACAUGUUAUUGUACUGGCCAAAUGUUGCAAAUGCAACAAGAUAUUUGAAGGAACGACGGCCACCAUCUGAUAGUUGGAGAAAGUUUCCACUUGUGAAAGAGAAGAUGAGAUCUGAUUACUUUAAAGAGUGUGACAACUGUGAACUCACAAGUAGUACAGAAGCUGAAGAAGGUUCACUGGAAGCAAAAAGAAGAAAAAUAUCGAAGAAAUUUGAAGACUGCUUGACAGAUCAUAGUUGUGACACUGAUCCACAAUUCGAAGAAGAAGAUAACCUUGGAAAUCGUCAGCUUCCUAACAGUAAUGAAGGUUAGUAUUUCUAUUUUUUAAUUUUUUUCAUGUAACAGGGUAAAUACUUAUCAAAAGAGUAUGGGGGGCAGCAAAAAAAAAAAAAGUCAAAAAAGAUGAUCUUUUUAUCUUUCUUAUGCAUUAUCUUUGCUUUAAAAGUUUAUUACAUUACAUUAAAUAAGCAGUAAAAUAUUUUGUCAGCAGAGCUAGAACUUCCUUUUGCUCCAAGGAAGGUGUGCAAGCUCUCCAAUGCAAGCUCAUCAUCUUCUGUUUCAUCCAGGGGAUCAAGCUCUGGCUCUUCGUUGCCACUUCAAAAAAAGCAGACUUCAAAAGCA